rnacentral:rRNA from 1 species
UACCUUAAGACAAAAAUAAUUUAAGGCAAGCCCUGCCCAGUGAAAUCUUCAACGGCCGCGGUAUCCUAACCGUGCAAAGGUAGCAUAAUAACUUGCCUAUUAAUUAUAGGAUAGAAUGAAAGGGUAAACGAAAUAGGAGCUGUCUCUAUUAGCCCAAUGAAAAUUAUUUUUUAACUGAAGAAAGUUAAAUUCAACUGAAGGACAAGAAGACCCUAUAGAGCUUAAUUUAACCUACUAAAUAAGUAAAAAUUAAAUUCGGUUGGGGCGACCGAUGCUCUACAAAUCAUCACCCACAAAAAGAAAUAUACAUCUCAAAAAAGACCCUGACCCAGAUCAAAAAAACAAGCUACCUUAGGGAUAACAGGCUAAUCUCAUUAAUGAGUCCCCAUCUAUAAUGUUGGUUGGCACCUCGAUGUUGGCUUAGGGAAUCAAAAGGGCGCAGAAGCUUUUUAAGACGGUUUGUUCAACCAUUAAACCCCUA